rnacentral:rRNA from 1 species
GCUUAACACAUGCAAGUCGAACGCGAAAGGGACUUCGGUCCUGAGUAAAGUGGCGCACGGGUGAGUAACGCGUAGAUAACCUGUCUUCAUGUCUGGAAUAAUACGCCGAAAGGGGUACUAAUACCGGAUAUUCUUGCUUUUUCAUAAGUUAUGCAAGCAAAGGUGGCCUCUGCAUAUGCUACUGCAUGAAGAGGGGUCUGCGUACCAUUAGCUAGUAGGUGGGGUAAUGGCCUACCUAGGCGACGAUGGUUAGCGGGUCUGAGAGGAUGAUCCGCCACACUGGCACUGGAACACGGGCCAGACUCCUACGGGAGGCAGCAGUGAGGAAUAUUGCGCAAUGGGGGAAACCCUGACGCAGCGACGCCGCGUGAAGUGAGGAAGGCCUUCGGGUCGUAAAGCUCUGUCAAGAGGAAAGAAGUGUACAAUGGCUAAUACCUGUUGUAUUUGACGGUACCUCUAAAGGAAGCACCGGCUAACUCCGUGCCAGCCGCGGC